CAGUGUUGGGGAAAGGCUGCUCACAGGUGGAAUUCCAGUUGGUUAGGAGCACAGCGUUUCCUUGUGGGUGGUGAGGUGGUUCGGCGGAUGAAGGCACCUGCCACUGGGCCUGACAAUCCGAGUUUCUGGACCCACACGGCAGAAGGAGGACUUGAAACCAUACUUCCUGCUGCACCUUGGAAUGUCUUAUAAGGUAAGGCCCAGAAGAAUUUGACACCAACAGUUGCGAAUUACAAAUGAGAGCUACUGAGGAGACACUUGCUAAAUCCUGGGGCCCAGGAAAAUGCCACAAGGCUUGUUUCUUCCCACAAUGGGAAGAUACGUCUGAUACUGUGGCCUAGAAAGAGACCAGUGCAUCUCUCAACUCUCAUCAGAGAAGCUUCUUCUUGCAGUCAAUGGCAGUUGACAGAGACCUACAACAGGUCAAUAUGAAGAGUGAGAGACUGGAGAGCUCAGCCCUAAAUGGGAGCAGCACUGAAGAAGUCUGAUACCACGCUCCUGUGAUCUGAAAGGGAUGCUCACCAUGCUUCCUUCCCUUCCUUCCUCCAUAGACUCUGUGGUGCUCUCAGCCAUCCCACGCUCAUUUAAAAGGGCACAAAACGAAGGCACCUGACAGAAGCAGCAGGAACAGCUGUUUUUCCCUUAAAUUCUGGUGGUUGCUGCUUUCCUGGAAGAAGGAUUUGAAACACAGAAACAAAUCAAUCAAGGCUCAAGACAGAAAUGCACUCCCUCUCUUUAAGGAUUGAGACUGUAACAAUUGCCAGUACUGCCCAAUGUCUUAAUGCAUCCGUGUGAAAGGAGGACCUUCAGAGAAUUCCUAUGUGCACAGGCACACACACACACACACACACACACACACACACACACACACACACACACACACACACGUACGGCCUGAAGCUUUUCCUGCCUCCAUGAGAUGGGGAUCUGAAGCCUCCCAGCAGCUGCUGAACAGCAGUUUCCCUCCUAGGUUGAAGCAGUUCAUCUGCAAACGAACUUCUAGAAUUCCCAUUUGGCUAAAAGCCAGAAUAAAUGUGAAAAUUGUUCUUCAGUCCCCUGCUUCGUGGACCAGAUAGAUGUGCCAGGUUGAGGGGCAGCUCCUUUAUUACCACCUUUGACUGAACUUACAUCUUUGCCUCAAAGAAUAAAGUGCAGUCCAUCUUUCCUAAGUUUAUGAUCGGAAUCAAACAGCUAAAAGAUCACAAUUUAGCUCCAUCUACGAGCCUCCGUUCAAGAGCCAGGAAGUGGCUUCCUAUUAAAAGCAGCCCCCCUUUGCUUCUCAGUGAAAGCCUUAGGAAGGCAUUUAUGGCAGACACAUGUUGUUUUCAUCUGCCCAGCACCCCUUCCUUUGGAAAAACCACUACUUCCUUUUCUGCCAGUCACCACUAGUCCAGCCACACUGGUAGCAUGCACACAGGUCUGGCCAAGCCUAAAAUUCUUCUUGACAUUACAGGACUGGUGGGGAGAGGGACUUUUGCUGGGGACACUAAAGUGGGGUACAUCUCAGAGGAAACAGCUGCCAUUGUCACACACAGGGCAUCCGAGGGCAGGAGACUCAGCUAUGGAAAGCC